CCUACGGGAGGCUGCAGUGGGGAAUAUUGGACAAUGGGGGGAACCCUGAUCCAGCCAUGCCGCGUGUGUGAAGAAGGCCCUCGGGUUGUAAAGCACUUUCAGUGAGGAAGAACGCCUGGUGGUUAAUACCCAUCAGGAAAGACAUCACUCACAGAAGAAGCACCGGCUACCUCCGUGCCAGCAGCCGCGGUAAUACGGAGGGUGCGAGCGUUAAUCGGAAUUACUGGGCGUAAAGCGCGCGUAGGUGGCUUGAUAAGCCGGUUGUGAAAGCCCCGGGCUCAACCUGGGAACGGCAUCCGGAACUGUCAAGCUAGAGUGCAGGAGAGGAAGGUAGAAUUCCCGGUGUAGCGGUGAAAUGCGUAGAGAUCGGGAGGAAUACCAGUGGCGAAGGCGGCCUUCUGGACUGACACUGACACUGAGGUGCGAAAGCGUGGGUAGCAAACAGGAUUAGAUACCCCGGUAGUC
rnacentral:rRNA from 1 species